rnacentral:pre_miRNA from 14 species
CUCCAGAGAGGAGGGUGGUUGCUGAUCCUGGGCAAGCCCCCAAAUGAAAGACCCCCGGAGCGGGGAGACGCUCACUCAAGUCUUGGGAUGACUCGACCCCCCAAGAACUCACGAGAGACC